rnacentral:rRNA from 1 species
UACGUAGGGGGCAAGCGUUAUCCGGAUUUACUGGGUGUAGAGGGAGCGUAGACGGCUUUGCAAGCCAGAUGUGAAAGCCCGGGGCUCAACCUCGGGACUGCAUUUGGAACUGUAUGGCUGGAGUGUCGGAGAGGCAGGCGGAAUUCCUAGUGUAGCGGUGAAAUGCGUAGAUAUUAGGAGGAACACCAGUGGCGAAGGCGGCCUGCUGGACGAUGACUGACGUUGAGGCUCGAAAGCGUGGGGAGCAAACAGG